rnacentral:rRNA from 1 species
GAGGAAUAUUGGUCAAUGGGCGCAAGCCUGAACCAGCCAUGUCGCGUGCAGGAAGACUGCCCUAUGGGUUGUAAACUGCUUUUAUAGUAGAAGAAACACAUCUACGUGUAGAUGUCUGCCAGUAUACUAUGAAUAAGCAUCGGCUAACUCCGUGCCAGCAGCCGCGGUAAUACGGAGGAUGCAAGCGUUAUCCGGAUUUAUUGGGUUUAAAGGGUGCGUAGGCGGGACUGUAAGUCAGGGGUGAAAUACUGCAGCUUAACUGUAGCAUUGCCUUUGAAACUGUGGUUCUUGAGUACGGUUGAGGUAGGCGGAAUGUGGUGUGUAGCGGUGAAAUGCAUAGAUAUACCACAGAACGCCGAUUGCGAAGGCAGCUUACUAAGCUGUUACUGACGCUGAGGCACGAAAGCGUGGGGAUCAAAC